CCUACGGGUGGCAGCAGUGGGGAAUAUUGCACAAUGGGAGAAACCCUGAUGCAGCGACGCCGCGUGAGUGAAGAAGUAUUUCGGUACGUAAAGCUCUAUCAGCAGGGAAGAAAAUGACGGUACCUGACUAAGAAGCCCCGGCUAACUACGUGCCAGCAGCCGCGGUAAUACGUAGGGGGCAAGCGUUAGCCGGAUUUACUGGGUGUAAAGGGAGCGUAGACGGCAGCGCAAGUCUGGAGUGAAAUCCCAGUGCUUAACCAUGGAACUGCUUUGGAAACUGUGCAGCUAGAGUGCAGGAGAGGUAAGCGGAAUUCCUAGUGUAGCGGUGAAAUGCGUAGAUAUUAGGAGGAACACCAGUGGCGAAGGCGGCUUACUGGCCUGUAACUGACGUUGAGGCUCGAAAGCGUGGGGAGCAAACAGGAUUAGAUACCCCUGUAGUC
rnacentral:rRNA from 1 species